rnacentral:lncRNA from 1 species
GGGAUGUGUCAGGACUCAAGAAGUCAGGAAACUUUCAUUAUGCAGGUGAUAAGCCAAAUUGUCAAGUGAACGAAACAUGCAUGUGGGAGCUCAUCGUUGUUCUUCUUCAGCACAUGGUUCUACAUCGUACUAAUUUUAUGUUGCCGUGGCACAUUCUUGAUGUAACUUCUCAAUUCUACAUGUGAAAAAACGAACAUCAUCAAUUACAAACCCGGAACAAUUUGCAAUUGCCACUUUCCUGAUACAACAAAGAUCUGUCUCCUUCAAUGGUGUAUAUAUAGGAUGUCUCUGAACUCGUCUUGCAUGAUCACCACAGUCUCUGCCACGGUGUUUGGCUUCUGGUAAUAGUUGUGGGUGCCAAUGUCGACCUCCUAUGCAGUGUUGUGGGUGCCAAUGUCGAGGACGGUGAGAUCACAUCGAACUUCCAAUUUCAGAGCUCUGGCUUACUUUGGCAAUGAACAAGCUGGUAAAUAUCCUGAUGCAUCCCAAUCCUUGCCAGAUUUCGCUCCAUGGUUUUUAUUAAAUUACUUUGACAGCCACGAAAAGGAAUCACAAACUCAUCAUUCCAUAGACAUGAGGCAGAGAAACAAGUGAUAUAUAUACACAGCGAUCUCACCUUAUACAUCAUCAGUAUCUCAGUCGAAAUAAGUUUUAGAGCGGUGGCCUGGUUGGAAUUUAAAGUGCAGUGAUGACACUUGUACAAAAAGUAGAUGCAU